GGUGCUGUAGUGUAGUGGUUAUCAUGCUUCGUUGUGGUUAGUCCCACAGCCCCGAAUCGACCUGGGUUCGAUUCCCAGCAGCGCCA
rfam:Aspergillus oryzae strain BCC7051 OAory_C10, whole genome shotgun sequence.